UACGUAGGCGGAAAAUUAAGUCAGUAGUGAAAUCCCACAGCUUAACUGUGGAACUGUUAUUGAUACUGGUUUUCUUGAAUAUAGUUGAGGUAGGCGGAAUGUGUAAUGUAGCGGUGAAAUGCUUAGAUAUUACACAGAACACCGAUUGCGAAGGCAGCUUACUAAGCUAUGAUUGACGCUGAGGUACGAAAGCGUGGGGAGCGAACAGGAUUAGAUACCCUGGUAGUCC
rnacentral:rRNA from 1 species